UUGAUAGUCUUUGUUGUGUCUUGUGAUUGUUUUCUGUGAUUUGAGAUUUUUGUGCUAUUGUUUCAUGAUUAGAGGGUGUUGUGAUUUAGUGCAUGACUAGAGGAAAUCCUGGAUUCAUACCACCUUUUGACCCUGAAAUUGAUAGGACGUUUCAUAGGUUAGUUAGGCAUUCUAGGAAUUUGUCUUUAGAGUCUGUUUUUGAGUCUG
rnacentral:lncRNA from 1 species